rnacentral:rRNA from 1 species
UGGAGCGUGUGGUUUAAUUCGAUGCUACGCGAAAAACCUUACCAGGGUUUGACAUGUGGGUGGUAGGAAACCGAAAGGUGACCGACUCUUCGGAGAGCCUUCACAGGUGCUGCAUGGCUGUCGUCAGCUCGUGUCGUGAGACGUUCGGUUAAGUCCGCUAACGAGCGCAACCCUCGUCGUGUGUUACAAGUGUCACGCGAGACCGCCGGUGUCAAGCCGGAGGAAGGUGAGGAUGACGUCAAGUCAGCAUGGCCUUUAUAUCUUGGGCA